rnacentral:misc_RNA from 1 species
AUAUAUAUACACAGAGCAGUAUACAAACAUACACUUGCACACUCACCACGCACACCGCACUCAACUUGAUACACGUAACUUGUGACAAAGUAUAAGCCAGUGGGAAACAGAAGCAAAGUUGAGUAUAAGUUUGUGUAGCGGGGGAGUGUGAGUGUUGGUGGAGAGGACCAGCCCAGUACAGUUAGUGUGCCGGCCCGCGGUCGAGCGCCCAGGCCUCUCCCCACUACCACUAAUUACCAUCUUGGGCACUACAUGAGCACUACCCACCACCACCUGGCGACACACCCCGCCGGAGGCUACACCCACCACCCGUGGCCUGAGCCUGACGGAGUACCUGCCGCCCUUCCUCAGCGGCGUUGGUUACACAGUGGUGGGGUGGGUCUCACCUCCCGGGUGACAAGUGUCGGUCAUCUUGUGGCACCACAGGCACUCGUCACCGAGGGCUGACACCAGCGUCGCCUGAGUGACAACUGUGCCUGUCAUUCCGUGGAGCUAGGGGCGGUUAUCCUCCCCGGCGGCUAACAUCGCUGCCGCCAGUGUGAUAACUUGUCAGUCAUCCCAUACAGCUAGGGGCAGUCAUCGCCUCCCUCAGUCUGCCACUCCAUUAUCUUAUCUGACGUACAGUGUGGCGCAAAAGCUUAUUCACCUUUCCCUAGUGUCAGUGGAUGUGUUUUUACGAAUACAAUAUUGUGAUUCACGGUGCAAAACACCUUUCGCUAUCACCCACAACAGGUGCUACACACUGGUGCUUUUAUGGAAACAAAUAUCUACCUGAAUACCGGUAAAUUUUGAGCACCUUCGUGUGUUUGUGUGGAAUACAUUCGUGUGUACCUAGUUUUAGACAGAGAUGAUUGAAACCCGAUCUUUUGUGACGUGACAACUCUAGCCGCUAAACUCGGUGUGAAUACAUUAUAUAUGUGUAUUGAGUGACUUACACCAGCAUGUUUAAGAGUGUAUGAGGCUUGUGUUUGAGUCCGUUGAACAAGUGUUGUGUCGUGUACACGCUGGUACACCUUCUCUCAUAACUCGUCCCCAUACACCUCAAAGCUGGAUCCCCUCAACAAAAGCCAGUGGGAUUUCGGAACCCUUCUGAAGAACCCGGAGGAGAGCUUAGCGAAGAUGGAUAUUCUUAGCGAGCUCUUCGGGCCUGGGUGGGAGCGGGAGGUGGCGGGCGACGCCGUGGACACCACCACCCCGUCCUCCUCCACGCCCACGCCCACCAACCGCCCACCUUCCACUGAGAAGAAGUCCAACUCCAUCAAAGGUAAAGCGCAGAUCGAGAUCAUCCCGUGCAAGGUGUGCGGGGACAAGUCCUCCGGGGUCCACUAUGGCGUCAUCACCUGCGAGGGAUGCAAGGGCUUCUUCAGACGGUCCCAGUCCUCCGUGGUCAACUACCAGUGCCCGCGUCAGAAGAACUGUGUCGUGGAUCGCGUCAACCGCAAUCGUUGCCAGUAUUGCCGCCUCCAGAAGUGCCUCGCCCUGGGCAUGUCCAGAGAUGCGGUGAAGUUCGGGCGGAUGAGCAAGAAACAGCGGGAGAAGGUUGAGGACGAGGUCCGCUACCACAAGGCGGCGCAGAUGGUUGGCAUGACUGGCCAAGAGACCUCACCUGACUCCUCCAUGUAUGAACCCCCAACGCCCACUUCUUCAGAUAUAUACACUCCCAUUUUUCUUUUCAGGUACUAUGGUCCGGAGAUUUCUUCCUUCCCUGCCUCAGGGUACAGUUACACACCUCAGACCACCACACCCACUAUACCUUUUGAGAUCAACCCUGAUUAUGUUGUAGACUCCACAACCUUCGACCCCCGUCAGACCUCUUUAGACCCCUUGCCAGACUCUGGAGCAAUGUCACCGGUUGUAUCAUCUGGUAAAGGCGGGUUCGGGCACAGAGGAGCUGGCUCAGGAGGAGGAGGAGGAGGAGGAGGAGGAGGAAGCGAGCUAGCUGGUGGUGGUCAGAUGCGGGGUGCUGGGCCUGGAGGAGGUGGUGGUGGAGGCGGAGGUGGUGGAAGUCUCAUGGGAGAAGCAGACAUCAUUAUAAAAGAAGAAGUAGAGACUUGCAUUAAUUUGGACACUCUACAGACCACCAGACUUAGUGAGUGUGGUGGUGCGAUCAGUAUGUCAGACAAGAACCUUACUCCCGUAGACAGUACUACGUACCUGCCUCCUGGACCCACUUCUCCACCCCUCAGUCAGCCUCAGCAACAACAGCAGCACCAGCAACUACAACAGCACCAGCAACUACAACAACAACAACAUCAGCAGACAACUGUAGCUGGUGGCACAGUGUUACCAGAUGAAGAAAGCGUAUCUCCCCACCCCACGCAACUUGCUGAGAUCCUGGCUCGCUGGGUUGCCGAUGCUCACUUACGAACGUGUCUAUACUCCAGUGAACAUAUAGCAGAUGUUAUGAGAAAACAAGCUCUAGACAUCUCGAAAGUCACUUACUACAAAAAUAUGGCACAUGAGGAACUUUGGUUUGAUUGUGCCCAGAAGUUAACGUCUAUAAUCCAGCAGAUCAUUGAAUUUGCUAAGGCUGUUCCAGGCUUUAGAAAAUUCUCUCAAGAUGAUCAGAUUGUUCUUCUCAAAGCAGGGAGUUUUGAGUUAGCUGUGCUUCGGAUGACCCGGUACUACGAUGUCAAUCAGAACUGUGUGGUGUAUGGUGACACUCUUCUGCCCAUGGAGGCCUUCCUUACUACGGAAACAGUUGAAAUGAAACUUGUUAACAACGUCUUUGAAUUUGCCAAAACUAUUGCUGAACUUAAAUUGACAGACACAGAGUUAGGCUUGUACUCUGCUCUAGUGCUGCUACAAGCAGAUCGGCCAGGUCUUCGUGGUACUGAGGAGAUUGCCAAGCUCAAUGAAGCUGUAGGACGAUCAUUGUGCCUAGAGCUGGAUAAGACACACAGGUUUCCAGUCAAAGGGGAUGUCACUGUCUAUGCCUUUCUAUUGGCCAAGAUGCCUGCCCUCAGGGAGCUGAGCAUGCUACAUCAGGAAGCACUGAGUAAAUUCAAGCGUGCUGCACCACACCUCCAGUUUUCUGAUCUCCAUAAAGAAAUCUUCAAUGUAGAUUCCUGAGGUGCCUAUACCAGAUUGCCUGGUUAAGAUGAUAAGUGCAGGGGGCUGCUCCUCUGACUCUGUUGCUCUGUCACGUCCUUUCUGCAAGAGAAUGAAUCAUCUGUACAUUACCUUCAUGAUUUGUUUGUUAGUGUUACUUGUUAGUGCAGAGGAAUGGACUCUAACAUACCAUUAUAGACAUGGUGCGAGUUAUACAGGGUCUAACAAGCAUUUUGUGUAGAGGAGCGGGGUGCUCAAGACCUCCAGCCUAAGAUGCAGUAUAUUAAUAUGAAGCCUACAACAGCCUCUUGUAGAUUAUAUUGUUGAUAAUGAUGCCUUAAAAUCAGAGUCCAGCAGAGUUGGCUUCAUAGCUUUUCCCAGCAAACACAUAAUGAAAUAAUAUAUUGUGCCAGUUGAUACUAACCUGCAAAUGAUAGGGUCAUGAUUGGCUAUGCUUGCUUGAGUCCUGGCAAAAGCAAAUAACUGAAGGAGGUAUGGAACAGUGGUACAAAGAAAAUGAGAGUCCCAUAGGUGAUAAUUGGUAUGGGCAGAAAACUGAAGAAAUUGCCUCCAAGCUGGAUUUUUAUAGUACUUGAGUUAUGGAGAGGCCUUACAUUCAAUAUUAAUUAAAGACAUUGAUAAAUGCAUAGGCAAAAUUUAACUGGAAAUCUGUGUUAUGCUCAAGUGGUGAUAAGGAAUCUGGUGCAUGAUGCACUGAGCAGCCCAGACUCUCAACAUGGCCUCAGACUCUCAUGGAAGCGCUGUCUUGCGUCCUUUGCCCAUUCCAGCCGUGCUAGAGUACAAAUAGGUUAGAGCCGAGGCCAUCCUGCCCUGUCUUGUCUCCUGCAGUCCUGCCCUGGACCAACUGGCCCGUGACCACAUCCCCUAAAGUCUUUGGUCUAAAGGUUCCUAAAGCCAUCUAAGUCAGUCUUUUUCUUCAUGACCGACGUGUGUUCAGGCCUGUGAGCCACCUUUCUGUUGGCCAUUAUAUUUUUUAUUUCUUAAAAGGGAGUCUUGAUUUGAGCUAAUAUGGUUGGCUUUAGGUCCAUUUGACUGCAGACACAAAGUGUACAGAAGGACACAGCUUCUGUUGUAGAUGUUAAGAGGCGGCAGUUGCUGGAGGACCUCUAGUGCUUAAUAUCUAGAGUCUAGUGUGCUUUGGAGAGUAUGGAGCCUGUCUUACCCUCCUCUAUCCCACUCACUAGGUUUACUACUGUUGAGUUGCAAUGGGAUAAGGAGCUGGUACAGUUUCACUCUGCUGGCAUCAGGUCACAGCCGUAUUGUACAAACUCUCCGGCCGCUGCCGUGAUGCUUGCUGCCUGCUGCCACCAACUAGCUAUUUAUUUAUUUGUGUAAUGAUCAUCCCAGUCUGUGCUGUGCUUCAUGAGAUGGACUACAUAAACAGCAAGCAGCAAGCGGCUUCUCUGUAUAUUGUAUACAGACUCUCCUAUUGGUUAUUGUGCAUUAAACAACUCUCCCUAUGGUCCUUCCUCUUUGGGGUGCGGGAAAUAACCAGCUAGGACGUCUUGUACUCACCACACAUAAACACAGGGGGUUACAGUAAACUGGUAUUUUGGCUAACCUGGAGUUUUAUUAUGCCUUUGGUAUUAUCAGUUUUUAUAGGUUCAAAAAAUUAUUAUCCUUAUGUCAGAUCCAUAAUAAAAAAUACUGUACAUCUUU